rfam:Gordonia sputi NBRC 100414 DNA, contig: GOSPT015.
GGCUGUCUUCGCGGCGGAGCUCGACCGCCCGUCCAGUCGAUGACCCAGUUCAUCGAUCAGCACAAGCACGAGUUCGGAGUCGAGCCGAUCUGCAGGACGUUGCAGCUCGCCCCG